GCCCAGGAAUGGCUGUGUAAUUGAAGAGCCCCCGUGAAAAGUGAAGAUGGGGUUCACGGAUCAGUAGGAACUUCAAUAAGGAAAUGGCAGAGCAUUGAAACCUCCCAGGAUACCUUUGAAGCCAGCCCUCAGAGGAAACCCUCUAUUCUUUUGGGAAGAAUUAGGUGCAGUGACGAUGACUCCUUUAGAAAACAAUCACCCAAAAUCCCAAAUUAAGAUCCCCCCUGAGUGUGGCAAAUGCAGUCACACGGGCAUAUGGUGCUUCAGAGAAUCCAAGAGAAUGGAUUUCCAAGCAAGAUACAUUUCAGGUUCGGCACACCGGCAAGUUGAACAAACUCACAGAGACGCAUACCGAUUUUAGGAGGAAAAGAGCAAAAAUCAACAACAGUUGCCAGGUUGUUUUUUUUUUUUUUUCUUUCAAACUGCAGCUGGACAAGCAUCUUAACUGCCUUUAUUUGAGACAACGCAGUGGUCAUGCCUCUCUUAAUCAUGGAAGUUCCGCAGGAACCAUCAGCUCUCACAAGAGCAUUUCACUACUACACAGUCAGAACCUGGUGCAACAGCUUCUCGAGUCAACAACUGAGAGGUAAAGGCAAAACUGCAAUGUUUGUAAGAAUGUGUUCUGUGGGAGAAGCUGGUCACCCUAUGGACAGAGCAACCUUCUUAAGCUGAUCUGUUCUCCUUGGCUCUCAAAGUGUUCUAGGUGAAGGUCAUUAUGGGCUGGGGCCCAACAGCCACAGCAGUGAAAGGCAUCCAAAAGGCAGGCACUUGUAUUGAUCCCUUGGUUGUGAGACAAAAAAGAUAUAAGUGAAGAAAACCAGCAUUAAUAACCUUUACAAUAAUGAUCAAGUGGGCAGCAAAGAGAAGCUGGUGCCUGAUAUGCAGAGCUUCUUGUACAUUCUUUGUUGAGUGAGUGAUCAAACCACCC